rnacentral:misc_RNA from 1 species
UUUGAUCAUAAUCCGGGGCAUCUUG